rnacentral:tRNA from 2 species
GUAGGGGAACCUGCGGCUGGAUCACCUCCUUUCUAAGGAUGGUUCUUCAGAAGCUUGCUUCUAUCGAGCCGUUUUAGAAACAUCAGUGGCCAACGAUCGUCAGGAUUGUUGAGCUGCAUUGGCGGGAUUUCGCCGUCUUCGUUUCUCUUUCUUCGCGGACGAACACGCGCUGGGCCUGCGAGAGCAGGGUCCCUGGUCCUUGACGGGAUAUGCGUUAGGGGCUUGUAGCUCAGUUGGUUAGAGCGCGCGCUUGAUAAGCGUGAGGUCGGAAGUUCAAGUCUUCCCAGGCCCACCACACUCAUCGGGUAAGCAUUCGUCUUCUGGUUACGGGGCCAUAGCUCAGCUGGGAGAGCGCGUGCUUUGCAAGCAUGAGGUCGUCGGUUCGAUCCCGUCUGGCUCCACCAGAUGGUUUGAUCACCGAGGCUGUGUUUGCAGCUAUUCAACCGUCGUCCGCGAAACAUCACUUCGCACCUACUAGUCUGGAUAGACAGCAGGUUGCGUGAUUUCUGACAUCGUAAAGAGGAGAUCGAUCCGAGUUGGAUCGGGCAGCAAGCAAUUGCUGCGCGAACCUUCAUUAUCUCCGGAUCAUUUCGGCGCUCGCGCGCCUUUCAAUGCGGCUCACAAGGCUGCGUCUGAAGGGAAUGCGGGUUGUAAAUGAUCCUUUUAGCGAAGCUUGACCGCCUCGCUAUCGGAACGAUCUUACGAAGCAAGCUGGUCUUUCUAAUCAUUGUCCGGCUGUACGUAGCGUUCAUCGAGGGCGCGUGCCGUAAGGCAAUCGUACAGACAACAUUCUGCCGAGUGUGUGGACAUUGAUAAUGAGAGC